rnacentral:rRNA from 1 species
GACGAACGCUGGCGGCGUGCUUAACACAUGCAAGUCGAACGGAAAGGCCCUGCUUUUGUGGGGUGCUCGAGUGGCGAACGGGUGAGUAACACGUGAGUAACCUGCCCUUGACUUUGGGAUAACUUCAGGAAACUGGGGCUAAUACCGGAUAGGAGCUCCUGCUGCAUGGUGGGGGUUGGAAAGUUUCGGCGGUUGGGGAUGGACUCGCGGCUUAUCAGCUUGUUGGUGGGGUAGUGGCUUACCAAGGCUUUGACAGGUAGCCGGCCUGAGAGGGUGACCGGCCACAUUGGGACUGAGAUACGGCCCAGACUCCUACGGGAGGCAGCAGUGGGGAAUACUGCACAAUGGGCGGAAGCCUGAUGCAGCAACGCCGCGUGCGGGAUGACGGCCUUCGGGUUGUAAACCGCUUUCGCCUGUGACGAAGCGUGAGUGACGGUAAUGGGUAAAGAAGCACCGGCUAACUACGUGCCAGCAGCCGCGGUGAUACGUAGGGUGCGAGCGUUGUCCGGAUUUAUUGGGCGUAAAGGGCUCGUAGGUGGUUGAUCGCGUCGGAGGUGUAAUCUUGGGGCUUAACCCUGAGCGUGCUUUCGAUACGGGUUGACUUGAGGAAGGUAGGGGAGAAUGGAAUUCCUGGUGGAGCGGUGGAAUGCGCAGAUAUCAGGAGGAACACCAGUGGCGAAGGCGGUUCUCUGGGCCUUUCCUGACGCUGAGGAGCGAAAGCGUGGGGAGCGAACAGGCUUAGAUACCCUGGUAGUCCACGCUGUAAACGGUGGGUACUAGGUGUGGGGUCCAUUCCACGGGUUCCGUGCCGUAGCUAACGCUUUAAGUACCCCGCCUGGGGAGUACGGCCGCAAGGCUAAAACUCAAAGGAAUUGACGGGGCCCCGCACAAGCGGCGGAGCAUGCGGAUUAAUUCGAUGCAACGCGUAGAACCUUACCUGGGUUUGACAUGGAUCGGGAGUGCUCAGAGAUGGGUGUGCCUCUUUUGGGGUCGGUUCACAGGUGGUGCAUGGCUGUCGUCAGCUCGUGUCGUGAGAUGUUGGGUUAAGUCCCGCAACGAGCGCAACCCUUGUUCACUGUUGCCAGCACGUUAUGGUGGGGACUCAGUGGAGACCGCCGGGGUCAACUCGGAGGAAGGUGGGGAUGACGUCAAGUCAUCAUGCCCCUUAUGUCCAGGGCUUCACGCAUGCUACAAUGGCUGGUACAGAGAGUGGCGAGCCUGUGAGGGUGAGCGAAUCUCGGAAAGUCGGUCUCAGUUCGGAUUGGGGUCUGCAACUCGACCUCAUGAAGUCGGAGUCGCUAGUAAUCGCAGAUCAGCAACGCUGCGGUGAAUACGUUCCCGGGGCU